AGUGGAACUAGUACUCAUCAAAAGAUGAGGCGGUUUUAUGCGUCAUAGUCCCUGUUCACAAUCAGCCAUGAUUUAAAUGAGUUCAUGUUUUCAUGGAGUUUGAUCCAGAGUUUUAUCAUCCAAAAAAUAGUGGCACGCGUUUGUUUGUUCACCGGAAGAACGUCAUCGCGACUUUGUUUACACAAUUUUCUACAUUAUUUGAACUAAAUUAUGACAAUUAUUAUAACAUUGUCUAAAACAGAUUCCCUCCUACAGCAAGUAGUAUUUUAAUUAAAAUAAUUAAAUAUAUUGUUAUUUUAUAUAUAUUUUAAGAAUAAUCCGAAAGUAUUCUUCAGCGCAUGCGCAUUCGAGUUGCUUAUGUGGCUCGUACUUCCGGUUUACACGUUUCACGAGUAGCAUCUUGUUGUUGGUAUCUGACGCUGAUGACCACUUCCAGGAGAAAGUAAGGCAUCACCAGGGUUUCUGCCGAUGGUGGUUGGCAUGCCAACCACAGCGGAGGCCCGUCGACGGCUGCUGCAGGACUGCUGCUCUGUGUUUGACCACCAGAACUUUUUCUCUGUCCUGGAUUCUCUGCUGGAUUGUUUUCAUCUCACUUGGAGCUUUUACUGCCUCUCAGUUAUUUCUGCUGCAGCUGAUGGUUUCUCACAGUAAGAGACCAGGCAGACCCAACAGGACUUGCUGGCUUACAGUUUUCCUCCAGUGCAGAAAUCACAGGCCACAUCUUCAGGUCCAGCAUAGCGGUGAUCAGCAGGAGCAGCUUGGAGUCCAGUCUGCUUCAUCUGCUCCACUAAAGCUGCAAGCAUGGUGUUUUUCUUCAAAACUGGCAUUGGUAUGAACGUCUCUCUGCACUGAGGGCAGCUGUGGAUUCUCCUCUUCAUCCCAGUGGAUUUUUGACAAUUAUACACCUUGAACUUUAACCAAUCUGAGGGAUUUUGAGCUUAUUUGGCUUAAUCUUUGGUGAAUAUGCAUCUUGGGCCAAUACUCGCCAAAGCCAUCGAAAUACUAUAACUUUCACAUAGACGGACCGAUUUGCACCAAACUUGGCAUGUGCAAUCUGUGUUAAAUUACUCAUGAAAGCUC